UACAUGGGGUGCAAACGUUGCUCGGAAUUAUUGGGCGUAAAGCGCGCGUAGGCGGUUAUCUAAGUCGGAUGUGAAAGCCCUCGGCUUAACUGAGGAAGUGCACCCGAAACUGGAUAGCUAGAGUACGAAAGAGGGUCGCGGAAUUCCCGGUGUAGAGGUGAAAUUCGUAGAUAUUGGGAAGAACACCGGUGGCGAAGGCGGCUCUCUGGACCGAGACUGACGCUGAGGCGCGAAAGCGUGGGGAGCAAACAGG
rnacentral:rRNA from 1 species